rnacentral:rRNA from 1 species
GACGAGCGCUGGCGGCGUGCUUAACACAUGCAAGUCGAACGGAAAGGCCCUGCUUUUGUGGGGUGCUCGAGUGGCGAACGGGUGAGUAACACGUGAGUAACCUGCCCUUGACUUUGGGAUAACUUCAGGAAACUGGGGCUAAUACCGGAUAGGAGCUCCUGCUGCAUGGUGGGGGUUGGAAAGUUUCGGCGGUUGGGGAUGGACUCGCGGCUUAUCAGCUUGUUGGUGGGGUAGUGGCUUACCAAGGCUUUGACGGGUAGCCGGCCUGAGAGGGUGACCGGCCACAUUGGGACUGAGAUACGGCCCAGACUCCUACGGGAGGCGGCAGUGGGGAAUAUUGCACAAUGGGCGGAAGCCUGAUGCAGCAACGCCGCGUGCGGGAUGACGGCCUUCGGGUUGUAAACCGCUUUCGCCUGUGACGAAGCGUGAGUGACGGUAAUGGGUAAAGAAGCACCGGCUAACUACGUG